UCAAUCUUGGAAAAUCUCUCUUGUAUAUCUCUUCAAAGCAAGUUUCUCAAAUCAGGAGACUGGUUCAGUAAUUGAUUAACAGCUUGAUCAUGAAGACGCUACUUGUCCUCUGCGCUGCCUUAGGGUUUUUCUUGGUAACCCUGAAAGCUGAUGCAGGAAGGGUUACUUUGGAGGAAACGUAUAAGGAUCUCAAUAGGAAGGUGGGUGUUGGCGCUAAUGAUCAUUUUAAAACCAUUGCUGGAACCAUGGACAAUAAAGUAGCCAGCAACGCGGAUAGCGACUCCUCCAAUGGAUCUGAAGAUUCAGCUAGUCACCGAGUUUUCCCGGAAUUAACUAACCCUAGCGGAAACCAACCAGAAAAAUCUAACCCAGGCCGCCGAGGCUAAGAUAAGAAGAUGAUGGAUCAGGAUGAAGCUUAUCUAUGAUAGUAAUAAUAAUGUUGCGGAACCGACAUGUAAGUAGCCGAAAAGGCCAUGUUUGGUAUCACAAAAUUGCAUAAGGUGAUCAGCUCUGUCCCAUGCUUACUAUCUGGUGUAUGACGGGUUUCGGCUUGUCGAGUAUUACGCUUUUGUGUUAUGAAAUAUCAUCUUAAAUAAAAACCAUGGCUACCAUGGAUAUGGUGUGUGCUUGUUUAUGUA